GAAAGAGACGAGCAUAGGUUCCUCCCAAGAUGCCACCCCCUUCAUUCAAGUGUCUGGCAGCACUGUGUUCCUGUUAGAGCCACCAGCACAAGCACCAGACGAUGCUGAUCCAGGUGAAGGCCCCAGUGCAGCAGCAACAGCACAUGAUGGAGACGAUGAUGAGGAGGAGACCAUCUCUCUGGAUUCCAGAAGGCAUGAGGACCCAGAUGCUAUACAGUGGGAAAACCAGCCUGGCAACAUAAGCUCACAAGCUAUCAGAAAGUUGUAUGGCAACCACCUCCGGCGCCAAAUAGAACUGGCAGACAUGGACAUUCAGUACAAGAAGAAAAAGAUGGAAAAUCUUGCACUGGAGUCCGAAAUAAAAAAGAGGACAAUUAGGAAACUGGACCUUGAAAUAAAAAAACUUGAGAGGGAGCUCCAAGAAGAUGACACAGCUCAAAAUAAAAAUUAGCAAUCAGUACAACCAAGUCAUCGUUAUAAGGCAUCGCCCUCUUUUGCCCACCCCCAGCACCAGGUGUGGCCACUAGCCUAUAUGAAGGCCCAAAAUUGUGUGUUCCUUUCUGCUCUGACAAUGGCAUGCCCAUUCGUGCGAGAUGUGGUGGAUGAAGAAGCACUUGUGCUGAGGAGAGCCUUCAGGCGAGAAAGGGUCUUCAGGGACCGGUUGGACCCACUGGCCUUCCCUGAUGACCAUCUAUAUGAAAGAUACAGGUUUUCUGCAGAUGGCAUCAGGUAUCUAUGCAGACUACUGGGUCCCAGGAUUAAGCACCGCACUGCACGGAGCCAUGCACUGAGUGUGGAGCAAAUGGUUUGUGUGGCCUUGCGCUUUUUUGCUAGUGGAGCCUUCCUGUACUCAGUGGGGGAUGCAGAACAGCUGAACAAGGCCACAAUUUGCCGCACAAUAAGGAGUGUGUGUCUGGCUAUCAAAGCAUUAGCAGAUGUCUUCAUCUCCUUCCCUGGCCACAGAAGACUCUGUGACAUCAAAGAGGAGUUCUAUAGGAUUGCAGAUGGUCUGCAAUGCUGACUGUGUGAUCAGCAAUGUUGUGGCAAAAUGGCCUGGCUCAGUCCAUGACUCCAGAAUCUUUCGGGC